UGCUCCCACCCGAUUCCUUUUUCUCGCCUUCAUUCAUGUCCGCGUGAGUGUUUGCACUUUGCACGCUGCUGUUCCGUGGAAACUCUGCUGACAGUUGAUAAUUCAUUAGCACAUGUUCUAUUUGACGUUCGUUCAUCCGUGCUGCUGCUGACGGCGAACACACACAAACAGACAGAGACAGACAGAGAAAAGGAGAAAAGAGAGAGGGAGUGAGAGUGAGAGAGAGCGAUGGAGCGACUGUCUUGGGCUGCUGCGUCUCUGUUACCAACGCCAGAGCGCCGGCAGAGAGUCUGGCGAAAAAGCAAAAAAAAGGAUUUUGGCAUUUGCCAUUUUAUUUUAUUUUUUUUUUUUAUCCCAUUCCGUUUUGUGCCGGUUCUUCUGGUCUUCAUGGACCGUGUGUUUUUCUCGGGAAAAAUGUUUUAGUGCGCAUUUAGACGUCGUCGGACACGGCAACGAUGCCUCUCGAGAGUCGCUCGUGUUUUGUGGGCCAUAAGAAUGCAGAAACUUUUGUAAAAAACUUUUGAAAAAUCUA